UGCGUAGGCGGGUUUCUAAGUCAGAGGUGAAAGCCUGGAGCUCAACUCCAGAACUGCCUUUGAUACUGGAAGUCUUGAGUAUGGCAGAGGUGAGUGGAACUGCGAGUGUAGAGGUGAAAUUCGUAGAUAUUCGCAAGAACACCAGUGGCGAAGGCGGCUCACUGGGCCAUUACUGACGCUGAGGCGCGAAAGCGUGGGAGCAAACA
rnacentral:rRNA from 1 species